rnacentral:lncRNA from 1 species
CCGACUGAUGAGAUCCGCGUCUUGGGCGCGCGUAGAUCCAACAUGGGCUCAACCCCCAUUGUUGGCCUUGUUGGAGCGGAGCGACCGUGCGGUGGCCGGUCUAUGACAAUGGCUCACGGGAGGCCGUAGCCCUCGCCGCCACUGGAUUCUGGUAUGGCUCCCGCCCCUUCUGUUGGCUUCCUUGACACCAUGGCCUCAUUCUGCUGCUUCGACCACAGGUUAGGUUCAUUUGCCUAAGCCGUUAGCCAUAACAGCCGUUUGUGGGCAUGGUGGUAAGCCUAAGGCUGGUGUGUGGCCUCCCUCUUCAAUCGAUUGCUUAAGCUUGGCUACUGCCUUCUCCAAAUCUUAGGGUGUGUGUGUCCAUGCUGACAUGGCGGCGACAGCGUCUAUCGAGGGCUACAACGUGUAUAUGAGUGAGAUGUGUGUGCGUGCAGUAGCCGGUGUGUUGUGUUUGUGGGUUUCCUCUGAAUCUUUAACACUGAAUUUUCUCUGUAUCUUUACACUGCAGGGUACCUAGUAGAGACAGGAGGCAGGUCGACCUCCUUGAUUAUGAUCUCUGUUUUUUCGGAUGUAGGUCUAUGUGGUGCCGUAAUUUUGCCGAGAUACCCUGCCUGCACUGUAAAGAUAUAGAGAAUUAAUUUAGUUUAAUUUUCUCUGAAUUUAUACGAGGCCUAGGUGGUCGGCCUGCCAUAGUUUGUUGUACACACUGCCGGUGGUGUACUAUUGCGGAGGUUGACCUGGCUUGUCUAAUACUAGUAGGCAGGUCGACCUGCCAUAGUUUCUUAUACACGCUGUAGUUCACUGAAUUAAACACGAGUUGAAGAAACUACAGUAGUUCAUCAACCAGCUGCACUGGGCUAUGUGGGCUUCUAUCAAGAUCUAAUUUAGUUUAAUUUUCUACCAAGAUCUAAUUCAGUUUAUAUUUUUUUGACAGUUUGAUGUGUCUCUGUUCUGUAAAUCAAUAUAAUUAAAUGUUCUAUAUGCAUUCAGUUUAGUUUUCUAUCAAAAUAUAAUUCAGUAUGUAUCAAUGUAAUCAGGUGGUGAAUAAUUUCAUCAAAUAGGAGACAUAAUUUCUGUUAGUGUAUUAAUAUGGCGACAUGUUCUAUUUAGAGGUUUCUCCAUACACUUCUGUCCAUAUUGUCAACUGCAGCUCAUUGAAUAUAUAUAACCAGAAUUAAGUUUAAUCUGAAUCUAAGAAGAAAAUUAUGUUGGUACAGUGGCAGUCCUAUAUCUGUACUGCAGAGGUUUAAACUUGUUCAUUUGUGUACUAAGCACAUGUAGUACUGCUACUAUUAGUUGUGCGCCUACUAGUACUAGAACCAAUGCAUGUAAGUUCACUCUCCCUCAACCUGGAGGCACGCACCAAGCUAGCAGUUGCCAACAUAGUGACACAUAUUUCUUCAACUCAUGUGCUCCCUGCCAGGUCGACCUCCAUAGUAGUUUUGCCGACAAGUAAGGAUUGAUGUCUACUCUCUGAUCCUAAAUCUUUUCCUUGAUGUUUUCCCAUCUUUUUUAUGAUCAAUUAACACUGUAAUCUCCUUGAUUAUGAUUUCUGUUUUUCAGGAUGUACGUAGGUCUAGGCGGUGCCAUAGUAGCUGUGCCGCUGCAUGGCGCAAAAUAGAGCUCGAGAGGGCGGCCAUGAUAACUGUGGUGGAGCUGCUCUGUGAUCAUCCAGGGGCUUGCUCUACUGCCACUCCUAUGAUUUCUCCGGUAUUUACAUUCCCCAGCUCAACUGCUACUGAACUGCACCUAUUUAGUUGAUUUAGUUCUGAGUUAGGCAUUUUUCACCAUGGUUUGAUUUUUUACUAAUUUGUUUGUGCCCCUUGGAUCUUGGUGAAAUUUAUCAUCUCAUGCACUUGAAUUAAAGUAACCCCAGUAUGCAUGUUUUUAAGAGCAAUAGUUUAUACAUCUAUCCAGUAUCUCCUAAGAGAACCAUUUGCCACUUAGUUCUAUAGAUUUAUUAGUGGCCGCACCUUAUAGUUAUUUUGCAUGCCAUUUGAAGUUAACUUGUCAAGCAGUUGUUUUUUACUAGUGUAAGUGCCUCGGAUAAACAUUUAGUUUCACGUGUAUACAUCUUGACACAUGAAAAUUUGAAUGCCAUUUUGCCGUCGGGUUUAUAUGGCCUCAACUGCUACUGAGUACUUGUGUUCUCUGAUGUAUGUUCUAUUGCGUUGUCACUUAUCUGUCAACUUGAUUAGACUUUCAUUUAACCCACUUUUAUUUGGAUUAAUUUUAGGCAACCUCACUUGAUUAGAUACUUUGUUAUUCUCGUAUGUAGGGACAGUAAAAUUUAAGAAAUUUGGACAACUGUUAAUUUAUUUUUGAAGUUUGUUCUUAUUCUCUUAUUUCUAUUGUCUACUACUAUCUAAUGUUGUUGUAAAUAUGUUAGGUAUGAUUGGGUAGCAGGCUUCUUGGUGCUGGCCAUCACAAUCCGCCAUGACAUGAUACUUACCAUUAGGAGGGCUGAUGACAAGAACCUGAAUAACAAGCUCAAUAGUAUCAUAUGUUCUGUUGUUGUAAAUUGGAUUGUAUUGGUUCCUAACCUUGUUGUGUGAUAUAUUUUGGCAAUAUAUUUUGUAAAUUAUCAUUUCAUGGAGGAUUUUGUAAGUUGAUGUGGUAUAUAUAAAAAUGGAUGGAUGCAUAUUGAAUAUUUGUGUAAUAUAUGAUCAUUCUUUGGAAAUACUUGGUCUUGGCCCAGAGUUGGUAUUAUGAUUUGUGUAAUGC